CAAGGAGGCCAUUGUCUUUCUGCAAAACAGUCAGCUCACUCACAACCAACAGAACUCUCAAUACUGUGCAAGAAGUGCAUGAUUUAGUCAGUAAACACAAGACAAUAAUGAAGCUUGUUUUGGAAGAGGCCUUGUUAAUAACACUCAGGCUAGAAGGUGGAACAGUCCUUGCAAGACUUAGACAGGAGGAGUUCUGCCACACAGAACACUGCCGAGAUGCCAUGAAGUUUGUAACCAGAUUGUAUAAUCAAGUAGAUGAGGAAGUCCGUAGACUGGUGCUGUUAUCCAAUAAAUGCCUCCAGCAGCUGGGGAAUCUUGGAGAAGCCAUAAGUUUUGAAGAAGACUGUGACUAGCAAUAUUAUGGGAAGGACUGCAACUGGUGCAAGACAAUAGUUUAUUAAAUAUGGAAGAAGAAGUUCAAAUCCUUGAGAAAUACCUGAGUAACAUUAUCAUUCAGACAGAGAGGAGGAAGACUGAGCUGACAAAACUAGGCAAUUUGUGUGAGUUUUAUGAGAUGGUAAGAGAAAUAUGUUUGCAUCUAUGUCUUAAGCUAAGCUUUGUUGAAUAUAAGAGGAAUCAGGCAGGGACAGCAGACAAACUAGUGUUACUUGGCAGUCCCAUACAAUCUCUUGAAGAACUAAAAUUAGAAUUUGGACAAAUAAACAGGGCAUUUAACUGUUAUCACAGAACAUCAAGGAGCAGAUAACUCAGAGUUCCUGUUGUGGAAUCCCAAAGAACCAAUUGUGUGACAAGCAGGAGUUGUAUUAAGAGUAAUGUAAAAUUUUCAGCUCAACCAGUUUUCAGCUGAAUUACACAAAAUUUCUCUAAUGGCUGCAUACAACAUCUCUCCUCUCUCUAUAAGUACAUAUGCAGGAUUUUGAGAAACCUGUACAGUGUACUGUUUCUCAUGUUCUAUCUGAAUAUAUGAUCUCCAUGCAUAUAUGCCUUGCGAGCCGGAAAUUUUGAUU